AUUGAACGCUGGCGGCAUGCUUUACACAUGCAAGUCGAACGGUAACAGGCCGCAAGGUGCUGACGAGUGGCGAACGGGUGAGUAAUGCAUUGGAACGUGCCCAGUCGUGGGGGAUAACUACUCGAAAGAGUAGCUAAUACCGCAUACGAUCUAUGGUUGAAAGCGGGGGACCGUAAGGCCUCGCGCGAUUGGAGCGGCCGAUGUCAGAUUAGGUAGUUGGUGGGGUAAAGGCUCACCAAGCCAACGAUCUGUAGCUGGACUGAGAGGACGACCAGCCACACUGGGACUGAGACACGGCCCAGACUCCUACGGGAGGCAGCAGUGGGGAAUUUUGGACAAUGGGCGCAAGCCUGAUCCAGCAAUGCCGCGUGCAGGAAGAAGGCCUUCGGGUUGUAAACUGUUUUUGUACGGAACGAAACGGCUCUGGUUAAUACCCGGGGCUAAUGACGGUACCGUAAGAAUAAGCACCGGCUAACUACGUG
rnacentral:rRNA from 1 species